rnacentral:rRNA from 1 species
CUUGCUUCUCUUGAGAGCGGCGGACGGGUGAGUAAUGCCUAGGAAUCUGCCUGGUAGUGGGGGAUAACGCUCGGAAACGGACGCUAAUACCGCAUACGUCCUACGGGAGAAAGCAGGGGACCUUCGGGCCUUGCGCUAUCAGAUGAGCCUAGGUCGGAUUAGCUAGUUGGUGAGGUAAUGGCUCACCAAGGCGACGAUCCGUAACUGGUCUGAGAGGAUGAUCAGUCACACUGGAACUGAGACACGGUCCAGACUCCUACGGGAGGCAGCAGUGGGGAAUAUUGGACAAUGGGCGAAAGCCUGAUCCAGCCAUGCCGCGUGUGUGAAGAAGGUCUUCGGAUUGUAAAGCACUUUAAGUUGGGAGGAAGGGCAGUAAAUUAAUACUUUGCUGUUUUGACGUUACCGACAGAAUAAGCACCGGCUAACUCUGUGCCAGCAGCCGCGGUAAUACAGAGGGUGCAAGCGUUAAUCGGAAUUACUGGGCGUAAAGCGCGCGUAGGUGGU